GCGGGUCUGCGCGGUGCGUGCAAGGUCCUUUUCCAGUGGCCGAUAAGCAUCUCGAAGGGGGCUGGCUCUGCCGCGGUCGUGGCCACGGUAUCUGGCGCCCACCUGGACAUCCAGGCUCUCGGGAAAUGCACGCCUUCACGGCUGUCGCGGUCCCCGC
rnacentral:other from 1 species